rnacentral:tRNA from 1 species
AGGUAUUUAGCUCAAUUGGUAGAGCAUAAUCCUUACAAGAUUACGGCUGUAGGUUCAAGUCCUGCAAUACCUA